UCCUCAGUAGCUCAGUUGGUUAGAGCAAUGGACUGUUAAUCCAUGGGUCGUAAGUUCGAGUCUUACCUGGGGAG
rnacentral:tRNA from 1 species